GACGAACGCUGGCGGCGUGCUUAACACAUGCAAGUCGAGCGGCAAGGCCCUUUCGGGGGUACGACGAGCGGCGAACGGGUGAGUAACACGUGGGUGACCUCGCCCUCCAGCUCUGGGAGUAAGCCUGGGAAACCGGGUCUAAUACCGGAUAUGACUCCAUGACGCAUGUUGUGGGGUGGAAAGCCUUGUGCGGCUGCGGAUGGGCCCGCGGCCUAUCAGCUUGUUGGUGGGGUGAGGCCUACCAAGGCGACGACGGGUAGCCGGCCUGAGAGGGCGACCGGCCACACUGGGACUGAGACACGGCCCAGACUCCUACGGGAGGGCAGCAGUGGGGAAUCUUGCGCAAUGGGCGAAAGCCUGACGCAGCGACGCCGCGUGAGGGAUGACGGCCUC
rnacentral:rRNA from 1 species